rnacentral:lncRNA from 1 species
UUGGCACGGGCUUGAUGGAUACCACGGAGUGAGAGGGAUCAGCAAGGUGAGGUUCCUAGGGCUAUGAAUUAGCAAGUACUUUGUAUUUUCUUUAUUAUUGUAUUUCCCGUUUGUCCUAAAUUCCACUCCCAUCGAUCCGUAUUAAUUGUCGUUGACUUAGUACAUCAACGACAAUUAAUAUGGGUCACAUGGAGUACUUGAUUCAUUUCUUGCUUUCCACUGUUUGUAAUAUAAACCAAACUCUUCACAUGUUUAUGUUGCUUGAAUAUUUUAGACCGAGUUAGAAGUAAUACAACAUUUCAUUCAUAGUACAUCAUUGCUUGACUCUGUAGAUUACUAAAAGAUUUUCUUUGACUGGCCACAACAGAGGCUCACUCGCCUAUACACAACUCUUUCAGGUUGUUGAAUCUGUCCUAAUAUAGUAGAAUCUUUUUGAAUUAUGUUUUGGCUAGAAUUACUAUAUAUGAGUAUGAUUUAUCUUCGUCUCCUUGUUGAUUCAUUCUGCAUGAGAAUCGAGGAGGUCAAACACUGACAGAAAUCAAAACGGUGACACACUUAUCAGACAAUGACAUGGUACUUCUUUACAAACAGGGUACAAACUGUAAGAAAGCUCUUAGAAUGUGUUAAACUUAUUAGUCCAUGAUAUCACACUUGACAAAGAGGUUGCUGAGCACAGCCAUGGGUGGUACUACCCAGUCUCUAUUUUGUUUUCAGUAGUGAAGCUACCACUAUUUUUUGUUUUCAGUGUGAAAACUCCAGACUUUCCCCAGCAUGUAUUUUCUUUGUUUUUUUGUUUGUCCUAAAUACUACUUGAUUUAUGUUUCUUGCUUUCCACUAUUUGUAAUAUGACUCCUCAUGUGUUUAUGUGUUUAUGUCGUUCGAUGAUCACAGCUAAAAUGAUAGCUUGGAUGUUUAGAAUACUUCAAGAAUUUCUCUGACUGCCCACUGUUGUUUAUAAACUACAUAGGCUCACUAUCCUAUACACAACUCUUUCAGGUUGUUGAACCUCGCCUAAUCUAAUAUAUGUUUUGUCCAGAAUUACAUAUAGGAGUAUGAUUAUUUUCGCCUCUUUCUUACGCAUUCCUUCUGCAUGAGAAUUGAGGAGGCCAAACAUUGAUAUAGAUCAGAACAAUGACACACUUAUCAGACGGUGACAUGGCACUUCUUUACAAACAGGGUACAAACUGUAAGUUAUUAGUCCAUGAUAUCGUAAUACCUAAUAAAGAGGUUGCUGAGCUCAGCCUUAAAAAUAGAAAGGGCUAUUGGUGGUAGUGCCCAGUCUCUAUUUUGUUUUCAAUAGUGGAGCUACCACUACUUUUUUGUUUUCAGUGUGAAAACUUCAAAUUUUCCCCAGAAUGCAUUUUCCUUAUUAUCAUAUUUUUCUUUGUCCUAAAUACUACUUGAUUCAUGUAUCUUGCUUUCCACUGUUUGGUAAUAUGAACCAAACUCCUCACAUGUUUAUGUUGCUUGAAUAUUUCAGAACGAGUUAAAAAACACAUGUCGUUCAUAGUACUUAUGGAUGGUCACAACUAAAAUGAUAGCUUGGCUUUGUAGACUACUUCAAGAAUUUCUCUGACUGCACACUGUUGUUUAUAAACUACAGAGGCUCACUGGCCUAUACACAACUGUUUCAGGUUGUUGAACCUCGCCUAAUCUAAUAAAAUCCUUUUGAAUUAUGUUUUGCCCAGAAUCACUAUAUACGAGAAUGAUUUAUCUUCGUCUCUUUCUUACACAUUCCUUCUGCAUGAGAAUUGAGGAGGUCAAAGACUGAUAUAAAUGAAACGGUGAUACACUUAUCACAGGUGACAUGGUACUUCUUUACAAACAUGGUACAAUCUACAGGAAAACUCUUAGAAAUUCUUAAACUUAUUAUUCCAUGAAAUCGUAAUACCUGACAAAGAGGUUGCUGCCCAGUCUCUGUUUUGUUUGCAGUAGUUAAGCUACCACUAUUUUUUGUUUUCAGAAACUCCAAAUUUUCUACAUUGUUCGCCAGAUCCUGAAACUAUCUUGACGAAGCUUUAGUAUCUAUUUUGUAAGCUCAUGGAGAUUUUCGUUGGGUACAAUUUGCAUCAAAUAUCUUAUAUAUGUUGUGGACUAUUAUUACCUGUUGAUAAUGCUACUUCAGAAAACAUGUGAACGCCAUCCUAGGACAGAGAAAGAGGCGCUACUGGCUAGGGAUUACAUGAUAGCUACCACCGACUGAAAAUAUGAGAUAUGGAUUGACACGAAAACAAGGUUUCACAAAUUCCGUACUCCCAUAUAAUCUUGAAAAGGAUGAGUCAGCCUUUCCUUCAUGAGCUUAUUUUCUUUAUGAUUCAUGUACAGAGAAAGAAGAAACAAAAAUAAACAGCAUAGCUCAGACGACGAGAAUAGUGGUUUCUCUCAGCGCCGCAUACUUAGUUGGUGCAGCAUGCUCCUGGGACAUACCAGGCUAAGUGAUGUUCCAGAGUACACAUGGAAUGUGACUUGAUGGAAGUCAACGGCUUGACGGCGGGG